GUUUAGCAGAAAUAGAACAGAACCAAAAGAAGGAGGCAGAAAGUACUGAUUUAAGGGAAGCAACAUUAGAAGAAAAAUAUGGUGAAACUUUAAGUGAGGAGAGAUCAAAGGCACUGUUGGUUGAAGAGGGUGACAAUACCGGAGAAGCAGAUAUGGAGGACAACACAAAGGAUCAAGAGAAAAGACCUGAAAACCUGCUUCCUACCAUAAAUCCAUCAUUGGGAGGUGCAACUCAAGACAGUACAAUUGUCGGUGCAAACUCUAACCAUUGCAGUAAGACAGCUAUAACAAAUUCUGGAAUUUUACCAGAAAACCAUGGGGAGAUCCAACCCACGGUAGAUCAUUUCGUUAAUACUGCUUUUGCUGAAUACCAUCAAACAAAAGGAGGGAAUGCAACAGGAACCAUAAACGUAAUGGAAGAUAUUUCUAGAACAAAAGUGAACAAUGAGCACAGCAUUCAGGCAUGGAAGAUCGGGGCUAUUUUUACUGCUGUCGUCUUGGUUUUGGAGACUGUUUUCUUCAUUAUCUAUGUCGUCAAAUGUCGAAAUAAGGAAAGCCCUCUAGCCAUGCAGCAGGCAGGUGUCAAAGGGUGUGUUGAUCCUGAGGCAGGAAUGGGAGGUAACUGCAGUGAGGACACUCCAUCAGCAGACAACGGAAAGUGUCUAGAAUAAAAAAAAAAAAUGGUGAGAUUACUGUCCCCUGUUCCGCUACAAGACUGGAGGAUGGCCCGACUGGACCCGUGUGGUGUGGCUACAACCUUGGCCAGGAAAAGGGAAAAGCAAGAAGAUGAACAUGAAGUAACCGUAUCAAACCAAUUACCAAGCUCUGAAGAGAUGCUGCCCAGUCCAGAAUCAGGACAAGACUUUCCAACUCCGAUAUAAUAUUCUUUUUUUUCUUUUGCUAAAUAAAACUCAAAAUGUAACAUCUUUGUUAUUAUCCAAGCGAUUGGAUUUCAAGAUGCAAUUCUCCACCUCUUACAAAAACUACACUGAUUGCAUUUGACUGUGUUUAAAAAUAAACUUAGGCUAUUUUGAUUAGUUCUGUGUCAGAUAUAAAACAAUUCAGGUUUUGAAAGAUUUAACAAAACAGAGAGCUGCCUUUCACUCAAUCCAGAAUGCUGGGUUUGGUUUUAAAGCCAAAAAAUAUUGAUUAAUGCAGCUCAGCAAUUUUUAUGAUUGCAACGUUUCACAGGGAUAAGUGUAAGAAAUGUAUUUUCUGUAAUAAUACUUUUAAAUGAUAAAACAAUUGAAUUUAGACAACAAAACAUAUGCAUGGAAUAUUAAAGCUGAAGUAACCCAUUUAAAUGUAUGAAAAUAUGUUUUCAUUAAAACAAUCAAAUUAAAUUGAAAUAACCAUUAAAUUGACCAUCUUCCUUUCUCAUCAUGUGGGAGAUUUUCCAUUAAGUCUUAACAUUUCUAGGUGUACAGUAUUUCAGAUCUUCUGCCUUUCAAGAGUGUUGAUGUCUCUUAUUUUCUCCUCUCUAACCCAACUAUGUCACUGUUUGCCAGCAAACAACUAAUCAAAACUAACAAAAAUCUUUUCUAACAACUUAAAUCAUGGCUUAAAAAAUAAUCCAGUAUUAUAUUUAUGCUUGCUGUUGAUAAAUAUGUCUGUGUGUGCAAACUUGAAAGUCGAGAUACUGUAACAAUUUUGGGUGAAGAUGGAAACAAAUAUGUUUUGUAGGUGCUACAACCUGUAAUCAAUCUCACUUGGACAUUUGAACAUGGAAUAGAAUUGUAACUUAAGUUUACAGUAAGUAGAUUUUCUCUAAAUUAAAAAAAAAGUAAUUUAAAUUUUUCUCAUACUGAAAUGGUAAAUGCUGUUGCAACAACAUAAAAAGGUUAACCAAAUUAACCAUCCAUCCGUCCUAGACAGGUUGCUACUCUGUUACAGUAUAUUCUGUUCUGUAUUAUCAAAACAACCCCUUUUUAUGUUUGUUCGCCUCCUGGCCUCCCUUUUUGGAUCAGGCUGGAUUUUGUACUCUUACACCACCAAGAAUACCUUCCAGUCAUCUGUCUAUCUCAACUCAUACAAAGUAA